AACUACGUGCCAGCAGCCGCGGUAAUACGUAGGGGGCGAGCGUUGUCCGGAUUUAUUGGGCGUAAAGAGCUCGUAGGCGGUUCCACAAGUCGGUCGUGAAAGUUCAGGGCUCAACCCUGAAAUGCGAUCGAUACUGUUGGACUAGGAUACGGUAGAGGUGAGUGGAAUUCCGAGUGUAGCGGUGAAAUGCGUAGAUAUUCGGAGGAACACCAACUGCGAAGGCAGCUCACUGGACCGCUAUCGACGCUGAGGAGCGAAAGCUAGGGGAGCAAACAGGAUU
rnacentral:rRNA from 1 species